rnacentral:rRNA from 1 species
AGAGUUUGAUCCUGGCUCAGAACGAACGCUGGCGGCGCGUUUUAAGCAUGCAAGUCGAACGGUAAUAGAGUGCUUGCACUCUAUGAGAGUGGCGAACGGGUGAGUAACACGUAGGUGAUCUAUCUUUGGGUCUGGGAUAGCCUGUGGAAACACAGAGUAAUACCGGAUACGAUCUUUAGAUUUUGGUCUAGAGGGGAAAGUCGCUUAGGCGACGCCCUGAGCUGAGCCUGCGGCUCAUUAGCUUGUUGGUAGGGUAAUGGCCUACCAAGGCGACGAUGAGUAGCCGGCCUGAGAGGGUGAUCGGCCACACUGGGACUGAGACACGGCCCAGACUCCUACGGGAGGCAGCAGCUAAGAAUCUUCCGCAAUGGGGGAAACCCUGACGGAGCGACGCCGCGUGGACGAAGAAUGCCGGAAGGUUGUAAAGUCCUUUUCCUGGGGGAGAAUAAUGAGUGGAGGGAAUGCCACUCAGAUGACGUGAACCAGGGAAUAAGCCCCGGCUAAUUACGUGCCAGCAGCCGCGGUAACACGUAAGGGGCAAGCGUUGUUCGGAUUUAUUGGGCGUAAAGGGCGCGUAGGCGGUGAGAUAAGUCUGGUGUUAAAUACCUCGGCUCAACCGAGGAGGUGCGCUGGAAACUGUCUUACUAGAGUGAUGGAGGGGGAGCUGGAAUUCCUGGUGUAGGGGUGAAAUCUGUAGAGAUCAGGAAGAACACCGGAGGCGAAGGCGAGCUCCUGGCCAUCUACUGACGCUGAGGCGCGAAAGCGUGGGGAGCGAACAGGAUUAGAUACCCUGGUAGUCCACGCUGUAAACGAUGUGCACUGGGUGUUGGUCCGUUGAGGAUCAGUGCCGUAGCUAACGCGUUAAGUGCACCGCCUGGGGAGUAUGCUCGCAAGGGUGAAACUCAAAGGAAUUGACGG